rnacentral:rRNA from 1 species
UACAGAGGUCUCAAGCGUUGUUCGGAUUCAUUGGGCGUAAAGGGUGCGUAGGCGGCGCGGUAAGUCGGGUGUGAAAUUUCGAGGCUUAACUUCGAAACUGCAUUCGAUACUGCCGUGCUUGAGGACUGGAGAGGAGACUGGAAUUUACGGUGUAGCGGUGAAAUGCGUAGAUAUCGUAAGGAAGACCAGUGGCGAAGGCGGGUCUCUGGACAGUUCCUGACGCUGAGGCCCGAAGGCCAGGGGAGCAAACGGG